rnacentral:lncRNA from 1 species
AUUCCAGAGAACUCAGGGAGGGUUUGGGUUUUAUAGUGAUGGGUCCUGCCCAGGUCCCAUUCAGGUCCAUUUAUGCACAUGAAGGAUUCAAAUUUGGUUAGUUCUGAUUGGUUGAUACAGCUAAGCCCUGAUUGGGUGAUGCAGCUGAGCCCUGAUUAGCCAAGGCAGGUGAGCACUGAUGUGCUGGUUCAGGUGAGCUCUGAGGGGUUGGUUCAGGUGAGCACUGAUAAGUUGGUUCAGGUGUGCUCUGAGUGGUUGGUUCGGGUGAGCUCUGAGGUGUUGGUUCAGGUGAACUGUGAUUGGUUGGUUCAGGUGAGUUCUGAUUGGUUGGCUGGUUCAUUCAGGUGAUCUCUGAGUGGUUGGUUUAUUCAGGUGAUCUCCGAGUGGUUGGUUCAGGGAGCGCUAAUUGGUUGGUUGGUUCAGGUGAGCUCUGAGGCAUUGGUUCAGGGGAGUUCUGAUGAGCUGGUUCAGGUGAGCUCUGAUUGGUUGGUUCAGGUAAACUGUGAUUGGUUGGUUCAAGUGAGUUCUGAUGUGCUGGUUCAGGUGAGUUUUGAUUGGUUGGUUGGUUCAGGUGAUCUCUGAGUGGUUGGUUCAUUCAGGUGAUCUCCGAGUGGUUGGUUCAUUCAGCUGAUCUCUGAGUGGUUGGUUCAGGUGGGCUCUGAGUGGUUGGUUGGUUCAGGUGAAGCUCUGAUGAGUUGGUUCAAGUGAGUGCUGAUGGAUUGGUUCAGUGAGCUCUGAGUGGUUGAUUCAGGUGAGCUCUGAGUGGUUGGUUCAGGUGAACCCUGAAAGUCCAGAAGUUGACUGGAGGUGCAAGUUCUGGGGGCUCAAAGCAUGUGGCCUAUUGUCAGCAA